rnacentral:rRNA from 1 species
UACGGAGGGGGCUAGCGUUGUUCGGAAUUACUGGGCGUAAAGCGCACGUAGGCGGAUUUGUAAGUCAGGGGUGAAAUCCCGGGGCUCAACCUCGGAACUGCCUUUGAUACUGCAAAUCUCGAGUCCGGAAGAGGUGAGUGGAAUUCCUAGUGUAGAGGUGAAAUUCGUAGAUAUUAGGAAGAACACCAGUGGCGAAGGCGGCUCACUGGUCCGGUACUGACGCUGAGGUGCGAAAGCGUGGGGGAGCAAACAGGG